rnacentral:tRNA from 8 species
AGGCACGUAGCUCAGUGGGAGAGCGCUUCCUUGACACGGAAGAGGUCGGCGGUUCAAUCCCGCCCGUGCCUACCA